GAUGAACGCUGGCGGCGUGCCUAAUACAUGCAAGUCGAGCGAACGGACGAGAAGCUUGCUUCUCUGAUGUUAGCGGCGGACGGGUGAGUAACACGUGGAUAACCUACCUAUAAGACUGGGAUAACUUCGGGAAACCGGAGCUAAUACCGGAUGAUAUUUUGAACCGCAUGGUUCAAAAGUGAAAGACGGUCUUGCUGUCACUUAUAGAUGGAUCCGCGCUGCAUUAGCUAGUUGGUAAGGUAAUGGCUUACCAAGGCAACGAUGCAUAGCCGACCUGAGAGGGUGAUCGGCCACACUGGAACUGAGACACGGUCCAGACUCCUGCGGGAGGCAGCAGUAGGGAAUCUUCCGCAAUGGGCGAAAGCCUGACGGAGCAACGCCGCGUGAGUGAUGAAGGUCUUCGGAUCGUAAAACUCUGUUAUUAGGGAAGAACAUAUGUGUAAGUAACUGUGCACAUCUUGACGGUACCUAAUCAGAAAGCCACGGCUAACUACGUG
rnacentral:rRNA from 1 species